AGAGGCGUUAGUAUCGGAUAGGCGUGGUGCUGCUCUGGGAAGACUUCCUAGAGAAGGGGAUCCUCGGGUUGAUGAUGUAUAACCCAACAGCUUUGUACUACAGAGUUAAUAUGACUGGAAGAAAAGGUAUACGUAGGGAUGGGGCAUUUGAUGAGAAAAACAGAAUAAGUAAUGUACCCAGGGAAGCCUGAGUAGAAGUGAAACUCUGAUGGAAUGGUUAGAGGCGGAAUGAAAAAACAGGAGUGAUGUCAGGGAGCCAAGAACAGCGCUUUAGUGAAGCAGUGAUUCAGUGGCCUGAUACUCCAGAGAAGGAAAAUUAAGGAUGAGAAAGUUAAUGUAGCAAUCUAGAAACAUUAGCUAGGGCUGUUUCAAACAAUUAGGAUAGAAGCCAGAGUGAAUGAGUGAAGAAAUACGGCUAUAAAGGAAGACCAGUCAGAAAACCAAAUGUGAGGGACUUCCCGGUGGUCUAGAGGUUGACUCCAAGCUCCCAAUGUAGGGGUCCCGGGUUUGAUCCCUGGUCAGGGAACUAGAUCCCACAUGCAUGCCACAACUGAAAGUUUACAUGCGCAAGUGGGGAUCCCGCAUGCCGCAGAUAAAGACCCCGCAUGCCACAACAAAGAUCCUGCAUGCUGCAACUAAGACCUGGUACAGCUAAGUAAAUAAAUAUUAAAGAAAAAAGAAAGAAAACCAAAUAUGAGAUAUGAAACUCAAAGGAGAGAUUGAAGAUAGAGAAGUGGAUUGACAGGAUUCCUGAUGAGGCCAGAAUUAAGUUGGAUUAGCCUUCAAACUGUGGGGCUUUUUCCGUGGAUGGAGUGAUGGAAAAGAAGUUUGAAAGUGGGAAUUCUGAAGUCUAUGAAGUAGAAGACAAGGUUAUCUGAGUGUGAAGGGUAUCUGUUCCCCACAUGUACCUGAGGAUGGGAUACAUGGGACGGCGGUAAUUAAACUUCUGCUCAAACUGAUGGGGGUCUCCUGGAGUAAGAUAUAAAGGAUUCAAUACUCAGAAAAGGACAAGGACUGAGCUGCAAAGUAAAAGCCAAGGAAAACAAAUGCUUCCACAUCCAAAUGUAGAGUGGUUAUCAGACUCUGAAUGAGGCCCCUGAGCUGGCCACCGUGGCAGUGACAGCCACGUGCAGAAUGGGCUACUAAGUAAUCCCCACAUUCUUCAUGGAUAACAUCCCAAAUGUGUGGCCAACUGGUUCUUGAUUACUCUGAAAAAUCAGGCGAGGAGCUAAAAAUCUCAGGCUUAUACUGCUUUUGACAUACCAAAGGCACCCCUAGAGCCCUACAGGUUGGCUCAUAUAAUAAAGGAGGAACAUGGGAUUUGGAGUCAGAGACUUAGGUUUUCCUUCUGCCUCCACUUAAUGCAAGUCUCUUAACUUUUUCAACUUCCCCUUCCUCAGAAAAUAAAACAGGAAUUAUAAUACCCCCUCUGUUAUUACAACCAAAGGGAUGCAGCAGCCAUAUAAUGAGAUAAUUGCAGCAAUUUAUUGUGCAACUUCUUAUGUAUUAUAAAGAUUUACAUACACUAUCUCAACCGUCACUUCAAUCCCCUUUACAAAUGAGGAAACCAAGUCUCAGAGUGAAAAUGGUGAUAAAAUGAAGGACAUGUUCCAGGGAAUCUGCUGAUGUCUCCAAGAUGUCAUCGGCAAAGCGGCGGAGAAAAAUGAGGAAAUCA